AGUUCUACAGUACAGUAUUUAUUGCUUGUUUACAGGCUAAUAAUCAUCAAAAUUAUAUAUAUGGAAUAGAUAACGAAAAUGGGACUAAGACAGAAAUAUACUUAGUAUACAGUUAUUUCAAUUAAGGUUGUCCACGAGCAAAGCGGAAAAGUCGAAUACGAGCGCGAAGGGCUGCUGGGAAUUGCUUUGAAAAUUCAUUAAUUUGUUAACGAUUCCCAGCAGCCUUUUGCGCUCGUAUUCGACUUUACCGCUUUGCUCGGGGGACAACCUUAAUUGAAAUAGCUGUAUAUACAUAUAUUUCACAGAACGAGCUUGGUUUUAUAAGAUUAUUAUAAGUCUAUAUACGAUGCUGAAAGACUAUUCAUUAUAUAUAUAUAUAUAUAUAUAUAUAUAUAUAUACAUACAUAUAUAUAUACA